rnacentral:rRNA from 1 species
UACGUAGGGUGCGAGCGUUGUCCGGAAUUAUUGGGCGUAAAGAGCUCGUAGGCGGUCUGUCGCGUCGGUCGUGAAAACUUGGGGCUUAACCCUGAGCUUGCGGUCGAUACGGGCAUGACUGGAGUUCGGCAGGGGAGACUGGAAUUCCUGGUGUAGCGGUGAAAUGCGCAGAUAUCAGGAGGAACACCGGUGGCGAAGGCGACUCUUUGGUCUGUAACUGACGCUGAGGCGCGAAAGCGUGGGGAGCAAACAGG